rnacentral:rRNA from 1 species
GGGGAAUAUUGCGCAAUGGGCGAAAGCCUGACGCAGCGACGCCGCGUGAGGGAUGAAGGUCUUCGGAUCGUAAACCUCUGUCAGCAGGGAAGAAAGUUAUAUGUGCUAAUCAGCGUGUAAUUGACGGUACCUGCAAAGGAAGCACCGGCUAACUCCGUGCCAGCCGCCGCGGUAAUACGGAGGGUGCGAGCGUUAAUCGGAAUUACUGGGCGUAAAGCGCUCGUAGGUAGUGUGACAAGUCAAGGGUGAAAUCCCCGUGCUCAACAUGGGAACUGCCUUUGAAACUGUUAUACUUGAGUGUGUGAGAGGAAAGUGGAAUUCCAGGUGUAGGAGUGAAAUCCGUAGAUAUCUGGAGGAACAUCAGUGGCGAAGGCGACUAUCUGGCACAUAACUGACACUGAGGAGCGAAAGCGUGGGUAGCAAACAGG